AUGGCGCUGACGCUGCGGUCCUCGACGUCCUUCCUCGCGCCGCUCGACCCUUGCUCCAAGCUCCUUCACAGGCCCGAGGACGCGCCGCCCUCCUCCGUCGCCGUCCCGCAGGCGCCCGCCCGGCUCCGCGCCCUCAGGGCGGCCGCGCAGGCCCCGCCGGCGCCGAUGGAGGCUCCCGCUCCGAUCCCGGCCGAGCUGCUGCACGGCCAGGUCCAGCAGGCGAACGCGGGCGGCGGCCGGCCGAGCAGGGGCGGGGUGCCGGUGUUCGUGAUGCUGCCGCUUGACACGGUGGGCCCCCGGGGCCAGGUGUCGCGCGCGCGGGCGCUGGCGGUGAGUCUGAUGGCGCUGCGGAGCGCCGGGGUGGAGGGCGUCAUGGUGGACGUGUGGUGGGGCGUGGUGGAGCGCGACGGCCCCGGGCGCUACGACUGGGAGGGCUACGCCGAGCUGGUGCGCAUGGUGGAGCGCGCCGGCCUACGGCUCCAGAUGGUCAUGUCCUUCCAUCAGUGCGGCGGCAACGUCGGUGACUCCUGCAACAUCCCGUUGCCGCCAUGGGUUCUGGAGGAGGUGAGCGCCGACCCGGACAUCGUGUACACGGACAGGUCCGGCCGCCGCAACCCCGAGUACAUCUCCCUCGGCUGCGACACACUGCCGGUGCUCAAGGGCCGGACCCCCGUCCAGGUCUACUCCGACUACAUGCGCAGCUUCCGCGACAGGUUCGCCGGCUACCUCGGCACCGUCAUCGCCGAGGUCCAGGUUGGCCUGGGCCCCUGCGGCGAGCUGAGGUAUCCUUCCUACCCGGAGGCCAACGGGACGUGGAGUUUCCCGGGCAUCGGCGAGUUCCAGUGCUACGACAAGUACAUGCGGGCGUCGCUGCAGGCGGCGGCCGUGGCGGCGGGGCACGAGAACUGGGGGACAAGUGGGCCGCACGACGCUGGUGAAUACAAGCAGUUUCCGGAGGAGACGGGCUUCUUCCGCCGGGACGGCACGUGGAGCACCGAGUACGGCCACUUCUUCCUCAGGUGGUACUCCGGGAUGCUCCUGGAGCACGGCGACCGCGUGCUGGCCGCUGCCGAGGCCAUCUUCGGCGGCACUGGCGUCACGCUGUCUGCCAAGGUCGCCGGCAUCCACUGGCACUACCGGACCCGCUCCCACGCCGCCGAGCUCACCGCGGGGUACUACAACACGCGGCACCACGACGGGUACGAGCCCAUCGCGCAGAUGCUGGCCAGGCACGGCACCGUGCUCAACUUCACGUGCAUGGAGAUGAAGGACGAGCAGCAGCCCGGCCACGCCGGCUGCUCGCCGGAGCUCCUGGUGCAGCAGGUCAGGGCCGCGGCGCGGGCGGCGCGCGUGGAGCUCGCUGGCGAGAACGCGCUGGAGCGGUACGACGAGCAGGCGUUCGCGCAGGUGGCCGCCACCGCCGAGGCCGCCGGGCUGAGCGCGUUCACGUACCUGCGCAUGAACCGGAACCUGUUCGAGGGCGACAACUGGCGGCGGUUCGUCGCGUUCGUGAAGACCAUGGCCGACGGCGGCGCGAGGACGGCGCUGCCGAGGUGCGACACCGGGCAAUCGGAUCUGUACGUGGGGUUCGUUGACGCCGCCAAGGAGCAGAGGGCGCCGGAGUCCGAGGCCGCCGCGGCAUUGUAG
rnacentral:rRNA from 1 species